UGGGGAAUAUUGCGCAAUGGGCGAAAGCCUGACGCAGCGACGCCGCGUGAGGGAUGAAGGUUUUCGGAUCGUAAACCUCUGUCAGAAGGGAAGAAACCGCACUGUGCUAAUCAGCAGUGCCUUGACGGUACCUUCAAAGGAAGCACCGGCUAACUCCGUGCCAGCAGCCGCGGUAAUACGGAGGGUGCAAGCGUUAAUCGGAAUUACUGGGCGUAAAGCGCACGUAGGCUGCUUUGUAAGUCAGGGGUGAAAUCCCACGGCUCAACCGUGGAACUGCCUUUGUUACUGCUUAGCUUGAAUCCGGGAGAGGGUGGCGGAAUUCCAGGGGUAGAGGUGAAAUCCGUAGAUAUCUGGAGGAACAUCAGUGGCGAAGGCGGCCACCUGGACCGGUAUUGACGCUGAGGUGCGAAAGCGUGGGGAGCAAACAGG
rnacentral:rRNA from 1 species